AUUGAACUCUGGCUGCAGGCCUAACACAUGCAAGUCGAGCGAGCGGCGGACGGGUGAGUAAUGUCUGGUAAACUGCCUGAUGGAGGGGGAUAACUACUGGAAACGGUAGCUAAUACCGCAUACCAUCAAAUGUGCCCAGAUGGUAUUAGCUAGUAGGUGGGGUAACGGCUCACCUUGGCGACGAUCCCUAGCUGGUCUGAGAGGAUGACCAGCGACACUGGAACUGAGACACGGUCCAGACUCCUGCGGGAGGCAGCAGUGGGGAAUAUUGAACAAGGGGCGCAAGCCUGAUGCAGCCAUGCCGCGUGUGUGAAGAAGGCCUUCGGGUUGUAAAGCACUUUCAGCGGGGAGGCGUUACCCGAAGAAGAAGCACCGGCUAACUCCGUGACAGCCGCCGCGGUAAUAC
rnacentral:rRNA from 1 species